rnacentral:lncRNA from 1 species
GUUUGCAAAAAUAUGCAUUUCCUUUGAUUUCCUUAUUGCACAAUAAUUAACGUCAUAACAAGCAUGACAAGCCUAAAUACAUAUUUCCUCUACUUAAAUCAUAAGGUGUAUCUUUUUUAUUUCCUGGUGUAAUUACAAACAUGUGAACACAUUAGCACAGGUUGGAAAGGAAUUGAUCGGUCAAUAUCAAUGCAACUGAAUGUUGAAAUGAGAUGUAGAUGUGUUUAUCCUUUGUAUCCACCUGAUGAGUUAAGCCCUUUUCUACUGAUUUAAAUAGUUUGUUCUUAUGUCGUCCUGUUACACCCUGAGGUUACACUACUGUCCCAGGUUAGAGGUACGGUUUUGAGCUAGCAAACUAGUUUAACCACGCCACAUUCUGUAUGUUCCUGUCCCAAGUCAAGAGCAUGUAAUUCAGUGGUUGUUGUUUGUUUCUGUAUAUUAUAUUAGUUUUUUGUUCCUUAUUUUGUUCUUGAAGCAGGCCAUUAGUUUUCUCAUUUGAAUUGUUUUAAUUUGUUAUUUAGGGGUCUUUUUUAUAGCUGAAUAUGAGUUACUAUUUGUUGAAGGCCUUUGAAAAGUGUUAAUUUCUGUGUCAUUUGGUCUUAGGUAGAGAGUUGUCUCAUACUUUGGCAAUCAUACAACAUCUUCUUAUUUUUAUUAUAGGUUUAUUGUUGUUAUCUUAAAAUAUAUAAAAAAUAUCAAAUCUGUUUAAAGUUCUUGUCAUCUAAUCAAACUCAAUAAAGAAAAAAACACCCAACAAUCAAUUAGGAUUGUCUAUUUUCUUUCUUUUUUGGCAAGUUCUGGUCUUUUUAUGACUUAUGGCUUAAGAUUGCAUAAUUUCCCAGACAUUAUUUAAAACAAGACAUCCAAAAGUUAAACUAGUUGAUAUGUUAUUUUAGGCCAUAAUCAUGAUAAUAGUGCCUGCAGUUGUAUAUAACAUGUAGUUAUAAGUGUAGUACCAAGCCACGUCUACUUUAAACUUAUGUUAGAUGUAUAUGA